GUGUACCACUCGUCCAUUGCGCCUCUGGAUGCGCUAGCUGCGCCCACCCGACGACUGCUCGCUACGUUUGUUUGCC
rnacentral:sRNA from 3 species